rnacentral:lncRNA from 1 species
AAGAUAAACUGACUUAGUGUUGUCACUCUCCCAAUAAGGAUUGGACCUCUUUUAUAGUCUUCAAUAGGUUCAUCUUUUGUAUAACUCGGAUCUUUUCAGAACUCGCUUCUAUUUUUUUGUCCGAAACCGUGAAUCCCAAGUACUUUCCUGAGGUGACUCCAAAGGCGCAUUUUGUCAGAUUUAACUUCAUUUGAUACUUUCGAAGAGUAGC